rnacentral:ncRNA from 1 species
ACUUUCUUGCCGCCGGGUAAGGAGUUAAGCGUCAGGCUUUCUAUCGUUAGGCCUUUGAAGAUAGAAAGCUCUGGCGCUAUUUUUUA